rnacentral:rRNA from 1 species
GAUCAUGGCUCAGAUUGAACGCUGGCGGCAUGCUUUACACAUGCAAGUCGAACGGCAGCAUGAGGAGCUUGCUCCUUGAUGGCGAGUGGCGCACGGGUGAGUAAGACAUCGGAACGUGUCCUUUUGUGGGGGAUAACUGUCCGAAAGGACAGCUAAUACCGCAUAAGACCCGAGGGUGAAAGCGGGGGAUCGCAAGACCUCGCGACGAAAGGAGCGGCCGAUGGCCGAUUAG